rnacentral:rRNA from 1 species
AACGCUAGCUACAGGCUUAACACAUGCAAGUCGAGGGGAAACGACAUCGAAAGCUUGCUUUUGAUGGGCAUCGACCGGCGCACGGGUGAGUAACGCGUAUCCAACCUGUCCACCACUUGGGGAUAACCUUGCGAAAGUAAGACUAAUACCCAAUGAUAUCCCACGAAGGCAUCCGAAUGGGAUUAAAGAUUUAUCGGUGAUGGAUGGGGAUGCGUCUGAUUAGCUUGUUGGCGGGGUAACGGCCCACCAAGGCUACGAUCAGUAGGGGUUCUGAGAGGAAGGUCCCCCACAUUGGAACUGAGACACGGUCCAAACUCCUACGGGAGGCAGCAGUGAGGAAUAUUGGUCAAUGGACGAGAGUCUGAACCAGCCAAGUAGCGUGCAGGACGACGGCCCUAUGGGUUGUAAACUGCUUUUAUAAGGGAAUAAAGUGAGCCUCGUGAGGCUUUUUGCAUGUACCUUAUGAAUAAGGACCGGCUAAUUCCGUGCCAGCAGCCGCGGUAAUACGGAAGGUCCGGGCGUUAUCCGGAUUUAUUGGGUUUAAAGGGAGCGUAGGCCGGAGAUUAAGCGUGUUGUGAAAUGUAGGCGCUCAACGUCUGCACUGCAGCGCGAACUGGUUUCCUUGAGUACGCACAAAGUGGGCGGAAUUCGUGGUGCAGCGGUGAAAUGCUUAGAUAUCACGAAGAACUCCGAUUG